rnacentral:rRNA from 1 species
UCGGGAAUUUUGGGCAAUGGGCGAAAGCCUGACCCAGCAACGCCGCGUGAGUGACGAAGGCCUUAGGGUUGUAAAGCUCUUUUGGCGGGGAAGAUAAUGACGGUACCCGCAGAAUAAGCUCCGGCUAACUUCGUGCCAGCAGCCGCGGUAAUACGAAGGGAGCUAGCGUUGUUCGGAAUCACUGGGCGUAAAGCGCACGUAGGUGGAUAGUUAAGUGAGGGGUGAAAGCCCGAGGCUCAACCUCGGAAUUGCCUCUCAUACUGGCUGUCUCGAGUCCGAGAGAGGUGGGUGGAAUUCCUAGUGUAGAGGUGAAAUUCGUAGAUAUUAGGAAGAACACCGGUGGCGAAGGCGGCCCACUGGCUCGGUACUGACACUGAGGUGCGAAAGCGUGGGGAGCAAACAGGAUUAGAUACCCAAGUAGUCCCUGAGCGGGCUGGCAAGGCGCAU